rnacentral:rRNA from 1 species
AACGAACGCUGGCGGCGUGCCUAACACAUGCAAGUCGAACGAGAAAGGGGCUUCGGCUCCGAGUAAAGUGGCGCACGGGUGAGUAACACGUGGGUAACCUGCCUCUAAGAUUGGGAUAACUCGUCGAAAGAUGAGCUAAUACCGAAUAAGACCACAGUUCCCGCGGGAACAGGGGUCAAAGGUAGCCUCUGCUUGCAAGCUAUCACUUAGAGAUGGGCCUGCGCACCAUUAGCUAGUUGGUAGGGUAACGGCCUACCAAGGCAAAGAUGGUUAGCUGGUCUGAGAGGAUGAUCAGCCACACUGGAACUGAGACACGGUCCAGACUCCUAAGGGAGGCAGCAGUGGGGAAUAUUGCGCAAUGGGCGAAAGCUUGACGCAGCAACGCCGCGUGAGUGAUGAAGGCCUUCGGGUCGUAAAGCUCUGUCGGGAGGAACGAAUGCUCCUGAGGUUAACAGCCUCGGGAGGUGACGGUACCUUCAAAGGAAGCACCGGCUAACUCUGUG